GACGGAGGGGGCUAGCGUUGUUCGGAAUUACUGGGCGUAAAGAGUGCGUAGGUGGUUUAGUAAGUUGGAAGUGAAAGCCCAAGGCUUAACCUUGGAAUUGCUUUCAAAACUACUAAGCUGGAGUGUAGUAGGGGAUGAUGGAAUUCCUAGUGUAGAGGUGAAAUUCUUAGAUAUUAGGAGGAACACCGGUGGCGAAGGCGGUCAUCUGGGCUACAACUGACGCUGAUGCACGAAAGCGUGGGGAGCAAACAGG
rnacentral:rRNA from 1 species